UGUCACACGUUCGGUUAGCGUGUGCUCUUUCUUAUGAGUGACCGAUUUGUUACUUUCACGUUGUUUCCCCAAGUGCGCAGGAUAAUGAAAGACUGUAAGUCAGAGCAACAUUAACUGUAGAACUUUAUUGACACAAACACACAGCAAGAUGGCAAUAGAGCAGAGGUAUUGAAUCCAUUCUGCGUUUGGCUUAUAUAGGAGUUGGUUGCCAUCUGCUGUUGUUAUGGUCACAUUUGGUUUAGAUUUGCUCUGACCCACAAUUAGGUAAUGACAACAAAGUAUGUUGUAACAUCAAAAGGGAGCUUUGAUUAAGAUGCCAAUAACAGGCUGUCAUUUAAGAUCUCAACAUGAAUAAUUUGUUUGUGACUUAAUUUAUGUUAUGUUAUAAUCUUUUACAUGCAUUGUUGACAAUAUUGGAAUAUUGAAAAGGUGUUACAGCAAAACUGUAGAAGGAUGUAAUGUUGAUGCAAUAAUCUUUAACAAGCAUUGUUGCUUAUAUUGGAAAUAUUGGAAAGGUAUUUGAUGAUUCUCUUAACAAUAAGUGAUGUAAAUAUGUUGUAUAAUAUUGCAUUUACAACUAAGAUUGUGUUACCCCUAAAUAUCAUAUUGCCAGAGAUUGACAAGAAAACAGACAUCAAGUGUAGCUGUACAAGAUCAUGAAACCCUACAACAAUAAACAAAUAUACAAAUGA